rnacentral:rRNA from 1 species
AAGGCAGGGGGGCGGCUUACCAUGCAAGUCGAACGGUGAAGCCAAGCUUGCUUGGUGGAUCAAUGGCGAACGGGUGAGUAACACGUGAGCAACCUGCCCUGGACUCUGGGAUAAGCGCUGGAAACGGCGUCUAAUACUGGAUAUGAGCUCUCAUCGCAUGGUGGGGGUUGGAAAGAUUUUUUGGUCUGGGAUGGGCUCGCGGCCUAUCAGCUUGUUGGUGAGGUAAUGGCUCACCAAGGCGUCGACGGGUAGCCGGCCUGAGAGGGUGACCGGCCACACUGGGACUGAGACACGGCCCAGACUCCUACGGGAGGCAGCAGUGGGGAAUAUUGCACAAUGGGCGGAAGCCUGAUGCAGCAACGCCGCGUGAGGGAUGACGGCCUUCGGGUUGUAAACCUCUUUUAGCAGGGAAGAAGCGAGAGUGACGGUACCUGCAGACAAAUUGCCGGUUUACUACGUGCCAGCACCCGCGGUAAUAC